UACGAAGGGGGCUAGCGUUGUUCGGAUUUACUGGGCGUAAAGCGCACGUAGGCGGAUCGUUAAGUCGGGGGUGAAAUCCUGGAGCUCAACUCCAGAACUGCCUUCGAUACUGGCGAUCUUGAGUCCGGAAGAGGUGAGUGGAACUCCCAGUGUAGAGGUGAAAUUCGUAGAUAUUGGGAAGAACACCGGUGGCGAAGGCGGCUCUCUGGACCGUAACUGACGCUGAGGCGCGAAAGCGUGGGGAGCAAACAGG
rnacentral:rRNA from 1 species